rnacentral:rRNA from 1 species
ACUCCUACGGGAGGCAGCAGUGGGGAAUAUUGGACAAUGGGCGAAAGCCUGAUCCAGCCAUGCCGCGUGAGUGAUGAAGGCCUUAGGGUUGUAAAGCUCUUUUGUCCGGGAAGAUAAUGACUGUACCGGAAGAAUAAGCCCGCUACUCUGUGCCAGCAGCCGCGGUAAUACGAAGGGCGUCAGCGUUGUUCGGAAUCACUGGGCGUAAAGCGCACGUAGGCGGGCCGUUAAGUCGGGGUGAAAGCCUGGAGCUCAACUCCAGAACUGCCUUCGAUACUGGCGGCCUUGAGUGUGGUAGAGGUUGGUGGAACUCCGAGUGUAGAGGUGAAAUUCGUAGAUAUUCGGAAGAACACCAGUGGCGAAGGCGGCCAACUGGACCAUUACUGACGCUGAGGUGCG